AUUGAACGCUGGCGGCGUGCUUAACACAUGCAAGUCGAACGGCAGCAUGGAGAGCUUGCUCUCUGAUGGCGAGUGGCGGACGGGUGAGUAACACGUAGGAAUCUGCCUAUUAGUGGGGGAUAACUCGGGGAAACUCGAGCUAAUACCGCAUACGCUCUACGGAGGAAAGCGGGGGAUCUUCGGACCUCGCGCUAAUAGAUGAGCCUGCGUCCGAUUAGCUAGUUGGUAGGGUAAAGGCCUACCAAGGCGACGAUCGGUAGCUGGUCUGAGAGGACGAUCAGCCACACUGGAACUGGGACACGGUCCAGACUCCUACGGGAGGCAGCAGUGGGGAAUAUUGGACAAUGGGCGCAAGCCUGAUCCAGCAAUGCCGCGUGUGUGAAGAAGGCCUGCGGGUUGUAAAGCACUUUAAGCAGGGAAGAAGGCUCUGGAGUUAAUACCUUUGGAGAUUGACGUUACCUGCAGAAUAAGCACCGGCUAACUCCGUGCCAGCCGCCGCGGUAA
rnacentral:rRNA from 1 species